GCAGUGAGACUUCAUAAGCGGGGGAUCGUGGCGCGCGCUCCCCUCGCGCUGCCGCUGCUGGGCUGCUGGCCCCGCCGCCUGCCCUUGCGCCUCCCCGCACCGUCCCCUCCCCGCACCGCCGCUCGUGCAGCGCAGCGCAGCUGUGAAAGGAAAAGCUAUAUGAGCACACGUGGCUCAGAAUACAUAGAAGAGAAGACCAGAACGGGGCUGAUGCCAUGGCUUGAGUGACUUCAUCGAAUAUGGUUGCUUUUUCUAGAAGAAAGGAAUGCUACAAGCUGAAUUUUAUGGAAUUUGCUGGGAAUUAUUUGAGAAAGAGUUUGCUUGCUCCCCAGUGUUCCCAGAAUUUCAGAAGUCUUGUAGUGAGUAAUUGGCAUGCAGUAUAUCUAAAUCUGAUCUUCAGGAUAAUCAACUGUCGGGAAGAGUCUGCUGCUACUACAGUUUGCCAUAGAAGUCAGUCAUGAAGGGAAGAGAAUUUCGAA